CACGUAGGGGGCGAGCGUUGUUCGGAAUCAUUGGGCGUAAAGGGUGCGCAGGCGGCCAUGCGAGUCUGGUGUGAAAUACCCCGGCCCAACCGGGGGGGCGCGCUGGAAACUGCAUGGCUGGAGUACAGGAGGGGGAGUCGGAAUUCCAGGUGUAGGGGUGAAAUCUGUAGAUAUCUGGAAGAACACCGGUGGCGAAGGCGGACUCCUGGCCAUGUACUGACGCUGAGGCACGAAGGCGUGGGGAGCAAACAGG
rnacentral:rRNA from 1 species